UGAAGGUGUCGGGCGACAGCGGUUGAAACUUUUCGGCUGAGGAAAGUCCGGACAUGGUAGAGCAAAGUUGUGGGGAAGCCCACCUGGAGUGAUCCAAGGACAAGUGCAACAGAAAACAAACCGCCUUUUUCAUAAGGUAAGGCUGAAACGGUGGUGUAAGAGACCACCAGCAAUUCGGGCGACCGAGUUGGCUAGGUAAACUCAACUUCAUGCAAGGUCAAGUAUAGGGACGUUGAAGCUGCUCGUUGAGUCCCAGGGUAGACUGCAUAGAGAAAUUGUCGUCGAUUACAGAAUCCGGCUUAUAGACACCUUCACCAU
rnacentral:RNase_P_RNA from 1 species